ACGAACGCUGGCGGCGUGCUUAACCCCUGCAAGUCGAACGGAAAGGCCCUGCUUUUGUGGGGUGCUCGAGUGGCGAACGGGUGAGUAACACGUGAGUAACCUGCCCUUGACUUUGGGAUAACUUCAGGAAACUGGGGCUAAUACCGGAUAGGAGCUCCUGCUGCAUGGUGGGGGUUGGAAAGUUUCGGCGUUUGGGGAUGGACUCGCGGCUUAUCAGCUUGUUGGUGGGGUAGUGGCUUACCAAGGCUUUGACGGGUAGCCGGCCUGAGAGGGUGACCGGCCACAUUGGGACUGAGAUACGGCCCAGACUCCUACGGGAGGCAGCAGUGGGGAAUAUUGCACAAUGGGCGGAAGCCUGAUGCAGCAACGCCGCGUGCGGGAUGACGGCCUUCGGGUUGUAAACCGCUUUCGCCUGUGACGAAGCGUGAGUGACGGUAAUGGGUAAAGAAGCACCGGCUAACUACGUG
rnacentral:rRNA from 1 species